AAAGUGGCGUUAAUGAGGUUCGAGAUGCGGACAGGUACACUUUCGAAUACCUACUGGCAUAAAAUAUAUAUAAAUUGUAGAUUUAUUGUCGCCGUUUUGAAUUUUGCUAUCAUAUGGGGUAAUAUGGGAUAAGAACUUACGAUAUAUUACAUCGGAUAAGACAUUGGGCGUGGUUAUAGGGUCAAAUAUCAGGAAAAGAUUUCUGGCGGCCAUUAUCGGGUAUAGUACCCGGAAAAGAUAAGAUAAUAACGUAUUUCAACAGAAUAUAUACAGUUUUGUUAGGGGAAGAGACAAGUUCUGAUAUGACUCAUAGUUCGAUCGUCUUAUCGAAUAAAAACAAUAAUUUCCAAUUUUUUCACCGAAAGCUUCAAAUACGACUAAAAAUGACGUCAUAAGUUAUUUAAUAAGGUAAUCUAACACUUUCGUAACAUAAAUUGAAGAGGCAAAAAAAUAAUUGCGUAAAAAUAUAUGCUCACGAGAUGAAUAUGUCGUGUAGAGUAUACGGAGAAACACG
rnacentral:lncRNA from 1 species